rnacentral:rRNA from 1 species
GACGAACGCUGGCGGCGUGCUUAACACAUGCAAGUCGAACGAAGCUUGAUUACGGAUUCUUCGGAUGAAGUAUGAUAUGACUGAGUGGCGGACGGGUGAGUAACGCGUGAGUAACCUGCCCUUCAGAGGGGGAUAGCGUUUGGAAACGAACGGUAAUACCGCAUAAUGUAUUUUGACCGCAUGAUCGAAAUACCAACGAUUUAUCGCUGAAGGAUGGACUCGCGUCUGAUUAGGUAGUUGGUGGGGUAACGGCCUACCAAGCCGACGAUCAGUAGCCGGACUGAGAGGUUGAUCGGCCACAUUGGGACUGAGACACGGCCCAGACUCCUACGGGAGGCAGCAGUGGGGAAUAUUGCACAAUGGGCGCAAGCCUGAUGCAGCAACGCCGCGUGAAGGAAGACGGUUUUCGGAUUGUAAACUUCUGUUCUUAGUGAAGAAUAAUGACGGUAGCUAAGGAGCAAGCCACGGCUAACUACGUG